rnacentral:rRNA from 1 species
UACGUAGGUGACAAGCGUUGUCCGGAUUUACUGGGCGUAAAGAGCGCGCAGGCGGUCGAUCAAGUCGAGUGUGAAAGCCCCUGGCUCAACUGGGGAGGGUCAUUCGAUACUGAUCGACUCGAAGGCAGGAGAGGGUAGUGGAAUUCCCGGUGUAGUGGUGAAAUGCGUAGAUAUCGGGAGGAACACCAGUGGCGAAGGCGACUACCUGGCCUGUUCUUGACGCUGAGGCGCGAAAGCUAGGGGAGCAAACGGG